rnacentral:misc_RNA from 1 species
AAAGUCGUAACAAGGUUUCCGUAGGUGAACCUGCGGAAGGAUCAUUACCGAGUUAGGGUCUUCUAGGCCCGACCUCCAACCCUUUGUUUACUAUACUAUGUUGCUUUGGUGGGCCCGCCUUUUGGGGCCACUGGGGACUCAUCCCUAGUCAGUGCCUGCCAGUAGCCUUCUUAAAUCCUUUUAUACCUAUGUCGUCUGAAUAUAACAAAUAAAUUGUUUAAAACUUUCAACAACGGAUCUCUUGGUUCUG